rnacentral:rRNA from 1 species
GAUGAACGCUGGCGGCGUGCUUGAUACAUGCAAGUCGAACGGAGAGUGUAGCAAUAUACUCUUAGUGGCGAACGGGUGAGUAACGCGUUGGUGACCUGCCCCGAAGCGAGGGAUAACAGUUCGAAAGAACUGCUAAUACCUCAUGUGAUCACCGGUUUUAGAAUCUGGUGAUUAAAGGUGAAAAUCACUUCGGGAGGGGCCUGCGUCCCAUCAGCUAGUUGGUAGGGUAAUGGCUUACCAAGGCGAUGACGGGUAGGGGACCUGAGAGGGUGGCCCCCCACAAUGGAACUGAAACACGGUCCAUACACCUACGGGUGGCAGCAGUAGGGAAUAUUGCAAAUGGGCGAAAGCCUGAUGUAGCAACGCCGCGUGUGCGAUGAAGGUCUUCGGAUUGUAAAGCACUUUUGGAGGGAUGAGGAAGGACAGUACCUCCAGAAUAAGCCUCGGCUAACUACGUG